UCCCUAGUGGCUCAGACGGUAAAGCGUCUGCCUACAAUACAGGAGACCUGGGUUCAAUCCCUGGGUUGGGAA
rnacentral:tRNA from 1 species